AAAAAUCACAUACUGUGUAUACCAAUAUUAUACAUCUCAUUAAAUACAUAUGUGAUACAUUUCUAAAAAUUCCGAAAACAGUGGAAUAUUGCAGGUGCUUCCAAAUUAUGUCUUUCUAUCGAAGAUCAUAUGAACAUUGUAAAAACAAGAAUACCAUCGAAUGCAAACUAAUCCCGAAAAAUCUGUUAACAGAAAAAAAAAAACGAAACCUCAUCUGCAAAUCACCUAUAUACAGUAAUGUAUAAAAGUCAACACCAAAUCUGAAAAAAUGUAUAAUUUAUUUUCUAAUUCUAAGGGCUAUAAUUCCAAUUAAUUCCGUCAACA
rnacentral:lncRNA from 1 species